GACGAACGCUGGCGGCGUGCUUAACACAUGCAAGUCGAACGGGAAUCUUUAUUUCGGUAAGGGUGAGAGUGGCAAACGGGUGAGUAACACGUAGGCAACCUGCCGACAGGAUGGGGACAACAUUCCGAAAGGAAUGCUAAUACCGAAUGAAGUCCGAGAGGGGCAUCCCUCUUGGAUGAAAGAUGGCCUCUGAACAUGCUAUCACCUGUCGAUGGGCCUGCGUCUGAUUAGCCAGUUGGCGGGGUAACGGCCCACCAAAGCGACGAUCAGUAGCCGGUCUGAGAGGAUGAACGGCCACAUUGGGACUGAGACACGGCCCAGACUCCUACGGGAGGCAGCAGUGGGGAAUCUUCCACAAUGGGCGAAAGCCUGAUGGAGCAACGCCGCGUGAGUGAAGAAGGUCUUCGGAUCGUAAAGCUCUGUUGCAGGGGACGAAAACCGGGUUUGAGAACAU
rnacentral:rRNA from 1 species